rnacentral:sRNA from 1 species
GGUGAACCUGCGGAAGGAUCAUUACCGAUGUGAAAAAAUCCAAGGUUAAACAUCAUUAACCAACCAGUGUGAACUGUGAAACAACUCUUUAGGGGUCGGCACAGGCGUGUGUCGUUAAAUGGCGGAUAGGUUCCUUCCGCCAGCCCCGCCAUUGUGUUUAUGAUAUCACUUUGAACGUUAAAGACUGAGAACGUAUGUAUCAUGCAUUAAAUGUAUGAGAAAGAAAGAAAAAUGAGAGACAACUUUUGACGGUGGAUCUCUUGGCUCACGUAUCGAUGAAGAACGCAGCCAGCUGCGAUAUGUAGUGUGAAUUGCAGAAUUCAGUGAAUCAUUGAAUCUUUGAACGCAAAUGGCGCUCUUGGGUUCUCCCAGGAGCAUGUCUGUCUGAGUGUCGGAUUUUAUCGAACGCACUCGUGCCUCAUGUGACUCAUGUGUGCGGUAUUGAGGUGUCACGGCGUGUUAGCAAGCAAGCAAGCAUUAAAUCGCCGUGUCCCUUGAAGGACAGCAGCAUUGGACUCGCAUUCUCUAUUGAAACUUGAGUGCGAAGGCUAAAGAUAAUAUUUUCCUUCGCCCAAACAUGCAAUAGCAGAAACAAAAUCCAAUCAAAGCGGUGAGUGACAAUAAACAUCAAAUCUUGACCUCAGAUCAGGCAAGGCUACCCGCUGA